rnacentral:tRNA from 5 species
GGGCCUAUAGUUUAAUGGCAAAAUGACGCAUUUGCAAUGCGUAGACGGCAGUUCGAUUCUGCCUAGGUCCA